AUAGAGAAAUGAUUCGGUACUUUUUUUAAAAAAAAAUAAAAAAGAUCUUAACCGUUGAUUAAUAGAGGGUAAAAAUGUAAUUUUAAUAUUUAGCAGGUAAAAGGAUUAUUUUAUUCAAGGUUAGUUUGGUAAUUAAACAAUACAAUAUUUAAAGAAACUUUUAAUUGAGGUCCUAAAUUUAGGCAUUAAUUUGCACUAAUUUAGAAAAUUAAUUGAUUAA
rnacentral:lncRNA from 1 species